UUGCAUUGUGACACAUGCUUCAGUGCUCUGAGAGUGUUUAUAGUGCUGUGAGUUUAACACUUCAUGACUGAGAGCAGAACAGAACACAAUCUUCAUCAUCACACAAGACAAAAGAACAACAAUGAACACAAUCACCUUCUUCAUCUGGACUCUCACACUGUUUGCUCAAGAGUGUAGAGGACAGAUCACUGUAACUCAGAGUCCAUCAAUAACAGUUCAACCAGGACAAGAAGUCAGAAUAAACUGUAAAACCAGCAGUGCAGUGUAUGGUGGUGAUCGUUUAGCCUGGUACUUACAGAAACCUGGAGAAGCUCCUAAACUCCUGAUUUACUAUAUAAACAGACUCCAGUCAGGAACUCCAUCUAGAUUCAGUGGCAGUGGAUCUGGCAGUGAUUUCACUCUGACCAUCAGUGGAGUCCAGACUGAAGAUAUAGGAGAUUAUUACUGUCAGAGUUUACACUAUCCAAACAGUCAAUGGGUGUUCACACAGUGAUAAAGAGUGGUACAAAAACCUCGGUCAGUCAGACGUCACAGUGAUGCACUGAUACAGCUGAGAGAUACUGCAGCUGCUGAUGGAGGAUCACAAACAACACAAUGGUGAAUCAAACCUUUCAGAAACAUUAUUUAUUUAUUUUGAUGUACUAAGCAUGUAACACAAUCUUUAUAUUAUAUAAAUGUUAGUGGUGUUUGGUCCUGCAAAACUUGCCACUACAAUGUAAUCUAACUGCAGGAAAGUCCGUCACUUUAAUUGCACUUCCAUGCUUCAUCACUAGAUGGCGUGUCUGUUACAUAACUGAGUUCUCUAUCUGUCAGUCACUUUGACGUUGCGUCGAUGUGAUGACACUAGUGUAGUGUUCCCUUUCGUGGGAACUAUCGACGCUACGUCAAUGACGUGAUGGGAACCCUCUGUAUGAUGUGUUUGCGAAGCACCUCU